rnacentral:tRNA from 1 species
UGAUGUAGCUCAGGGGUAGAGCACUCCCUUGGUAAGGGAGAGGUCGGGGGUUCAAUUCCCCCCAUCAGC